UUUUCGUCUUUUUACGGCCGCACCCGCAAGGCAUAUGGAUGUUCCCAGGCUAGGGGUCUAAUUGAAGCUGUAGCUGACAGCCUACACCAGAGCCACAACAACACCAGAUCUGAGCUGCAUCUGUGACCUAUACCACAGCUCACAGCAAUACCGGAUCCUUAACCCACUGAGCAAGGCCAGGGAUCAAACCUGCAACCUCAUGAUUCCUAGUUGGCUUCAUUUCCACUGCGCCACGACAGGAACUCCUAAAAAAAUUAUUUUUUUAUUGAAGUAUAGUUGAUGUACAAUAUUAUAUAAGUUACAGGUGUGCGUUAUAGUGAUUCGUAAUUUUUAAAGGUUAUACUCCAGUUAUAGCUAUUAUAAAAUACGAACAAUAUUCACCAUGUUGUACGAUAUAUCUAUAUCUAUCUGUUUAUCUACAUAUACAUCUUUUUUAUCCAUUUAUUUGUUGAUGGAAACUUAGGCUACUCCCAUAGCUUGGCAAUUGUAAAUAACACUGAUGUAAAUACUGGGGUACAUGUGUUUUUUUGUCUUUUUAGGGCCACACCCACAGCAUAUGGAGGUUCCCAGGCUAGGGGUCUAAUCGGAGCUACAGCUGCCGGUCUAAGCCACAGACACAGCAUCGCUAGAUCUGACCCUCAUCUGCUACCUACACCACAGCUCAGGGCAUCGCCAGAUCCUUAACCCACUGAGCGAGGCUAGGAAUCGAACCCACAACCUCAUGAUUCCUAGUCAGAUUCGUUUCCACUGUGCCACGACGGGAACUCCUACAUGUAUCUUUUUGAAUAUCCAAGAAUGGAAUUUCUGGGUUCUAUGGUAGUUAUAGUUUUAGUUUUUUGAGAAACCUCCAUACUGUUUUCCACAGUGGCUGCACCAGUAUAUGUUCCCACCAACAGUGUACAAGUGUUCCCUUUUCUCCACAUUCUUGCCAACAUUUAUUAUUUGUAAUUUUUUUGGCAAUAGUAGAAACUCUUCAGGCCGGAAGGGAGUGCCACAAUAUAUUUAACAUGAUGGAAGGGAGAAACCUACAACUAAGACUAGUGAAAGUCUCACAUUCAGAUUUGACAGAGAGUUCAAAAGCUUUACAGACAAGCAAAAGCUAAAAGAGUUCAGCACCACCAAAUCAGCUUUAUAACAAAUCAGCUUUACAACAAGUGUUAAAGGAACUUCUCUAGGUGAAAAAGAAAAAGCCGCAACUAGAAAAAAGAAAAUUACGUUGUUUUUUUUUUUUAAUUUAGGUUGUAUAUACCAUAUUCUUCCAAAAGCAUUUAAACUGUCUUACAAAGUGAAACAGUAUAAAAUGGAGCAAUGAGAAAUAAAACAGGGUUUCAACCAAACACCUGAACCCAAAAGCAAGUAGAUAGCAUCCCCCACUUGAAGUAAGUGGCAGAACUUUAGUGUGGGCAGAACUGGGCUCCAUGUUUUCUACCAGCUGAAAUACCAAGAGAAACAUGUUGAACUACAUUCUUUUCAUUAUCUGAUGAAAGUACACACAACUGUCUCUGUAGUCUGUGCUAUUUCUUAGAAUGAAAUUCAAGCAGGAAUUCAUAACAUGAAACCUUGCAGAAGACACAGCAAGUACCAAACCACUUCAAUUAUGUGAUUACCAAAAAAUCCAUUCAGACCACCCUUUGUAAAAAUAGCAUACAUUAAGUUAAAGUAAAAUUUAAUGAGAGCACUGGGGGAGAAGAUAAGACAAGGUAGUCCAGAGCCUCACAUUCUCAGAAUCUAAAGUAAGAGGGGGGGUAAUUUUCAAUAGUGAAACAAUGAACGUGUCUAUUAGAUUCUCUCAAAUCCUCGAUUCCUUAGGUAAUGGUGGCUGAGGCUAGAUUAUUGUCAGUUCAUGAUUUAACUCUCACAGGAAACUGCAGUGUAAAUAUUCCGGGUUGUCAGUUAAAACUAAACCUCCCUGCUUUAGUUAUUAGUCAAGACUUGUCAUUUUUGUCAACAACCACAUUUGUUUGCAUCACAUACAAGUUGUCUCACUACAGCAGAGACGCCAGUCCAGGAACAACUGUUUUUCUUGUCAUUGGCCUUGGACAGGACCAC
ensembl:lncRNA